CCCGGCCCGCGGAGCCGGCGCCAGCGGGCUGCUGAGGUGGCUGUCGCCGGCUCGGAGUUGCGGCUUCCCCGGGUCGAGUCGCCGAUGGAAGCCGAGGCCGCGGAUAGCCCCCCGGGCGGGGUCAAGGCGGCGCUCAGCUGCUUCUCUUUCAACCAGGACUGCACAUCCCUAGCAAUUGGAACCAAAGCCGGUUAUAAGCUGUUUUCUUUGAGUUCCGUGGAGCAACUGGACCAAGUCCAUGGCAGCAACGAAAUCCCAGAUGUCUACAUCGUGGAGCGCCUUUUCUCCAGCAGCCUGGUGGUGGUGGUGAGUCAUACAAAGCCGCGUCAGAUGAACGUCUAUCACUUCAAGAAAGGCACAGAGAUCUGUAAUUACAGCUACUCCAGCAACAUCUUGUCCAUAAGGCUGAACCGGCAGAGGCUGCUGGUGUGUCUGGAGGAGUCCAUUUACAUUCACAACAUUAAAGACAUGAAGCUGCUGAAGACGAUCCUGGAUGUUCCUGCAAACCCAACAGGUCUGUGUGCCCUCUCCAUCAACCAUUCCAAUUCUUACGUGGCCUACCCUGGAAGCCUGACUACAGGCGAGAUUGUGCUUUACGAUGGACACUCCCUGAAAACCGUCUGCACUAUUGCUGCCCACGAGGGGACACUGGCUGCCAUCACCUUCAACGCCUCAGGCUCCAAACUAGCGAGCGCAUCUGAAAAGGGCACUGUCAUCCGGGUGUUCUCUGUACCUGAUGGGCAAAAGCUCUAUGAGUUUCGGAGAGGAAUGAAAAGGUAUGUGACAAUCAGCUCUCUAGUUUUCAGUAUGGACUCACAGUUCCUCUGCGCCUCCAGCAACACCGAGACCGUGCACAUCUUCAAGCUGGAGCACCUCACCAACAAUCGACCAGAAGAGCCUUCGACCUGGAGUGGCUACAUGGGAAAGAUGUUCAUGGCUGCUUCCAACUACCUCCCCGCCCAGGUGACAGACAUGAUGAACCAGGACAGGGCCUUUGCCACCGGGCGUUUGAAUUUCUCUGGGCAGAAGAAUAUCUGCACCCUCUCCACGAUCCAGAAAUUGCCAAGGCUGUUAGUUGCAUCCUCCGAUGGACACCUUUAUGUCUACAAUUUGGACCCUCAGGACGGAGGAGAGUGUGUCUUAAUCAAGACCCACAGCUUGCUUGGCUCAGGAACCACAGAAGAGAAUAAAGAAAAUGACCUCAGACCUUCAUUACCUCAGUCUUAUGCAGCAACAGUAGCCAGACCAAGCACAUCUUCAGCUUCCACGGUGCCAGGUUAUUCUGAGGAUGGCGGGGCGCUCCGAGGAGAGGUUAUUCCUGAACAUGAGUUUGCGACGGGACCAGUGCGUCUUGAUGAUGAGAAUGAAUUUCCCCCUGUGAGCAUUAGGAAUCCUUAAAAGAGCGGCUCAGUCUGUAUGCUUGGAAGGACACCUUCGCCUCGGGCAAGAGGCGAGGUCUCUCUCCCUGUUAUCUGGUCUAUAACAACUAGUCCUCCUCUCUCACGGUCAGAAAGCCGUAGAAUGUUUAUUGUGCUGUGUGCUUCAGACCCUACCGGCUAGUCUUUAGGUGUUGUGCUAGACCCGACAGCACUGGAAUAACUGAAUCCUAAUCCAGGGAGUCUCGGUGGCCUCGUUACACUCAAGAGGCCUGGAAUCCUUGACCUUGCUUCUUUAGAAGCACUGUCUUUGCUGCUCAGAAGAUAAUCUUGUGCCGUGGAAGUCAGAAGGGCAAAACGAAGCUGUCAUGAUGAGAAGCACACCUCAGAAAUCAGGACAUCCCAUAUCAGGUGGUUUUGGAGAAAACAAGGAAGGUGGAAGAAUGGAGUGCGAUUGUGU